rnacentral:rRNA from 1 species
GGUUUCCGUAGGUGAACGUGCGGAAGGAUCAUUA